GACGAACGCUGGCGGCGUGCCUAAUACAUGCAAGUAGGACGCAGUUGCGAACGGGUGAGUAACGCGUAGGUAACUACCUAUUAGAGGGGGAUAACUAUUGGAAACGAUAGCUAAUACCGCAUACUAGUAGAUGGACCUGCGUUGUAUUAGCUCGUAGGUUGGGUAAUGGCCUACCUAGGCAACGCUACAUAGCCGUCCUUGGAGGGUGAUCGGGCAAACUGGGAAUGGGAAACGGCCCAGACUCCUACGGGAGGCAACAGUAGGGAAUCUUCGGCAAUGGGGGGAACGCUGACCGAGCAACGCCGCGGGAGUGAAGGAGGGUUUCGGAUCGUAAAACUCUGUUGUUAAGGAAGCGGUACUUAACCAGAAAGGGACGGCUAACUACGUGCCAGCAGCCGCGGUAAUUC
rnacentral:rRNA from 1 species